rnacentral:rRNA from 1 species
GAUGAACGCUGGCGGCGUGCCCAACACAUGCAAGUCGAACGGAGUCCAGCCUUUAAGACCUUCGGGUCAAAGAGGGGAAGACUGAGUGGCGGACGGGUGAGUAACACGUGGGCAACCUGGCUCAUAGAGGGGGAUAACAGAGAGAAAUUUCUGCUAAUACCGCAUAAGCACGCACUGCCGCAUGGCAGAGGGUGAAAAGAGAAUCGCUAUGAGAUGGACCCGCGUCUGAUUAGCCAGUUGGCAGGGUAAGAGCCUACCAAAGCGACGAUCAGUAGCCGAUCUGAGAGGAUGAACGGCCACAUUGGGACUGAGACACGGCCCAAACUCCUACGGGAGGCAGCAGUGGGGGAUAUUGCACAAUGGGGGGAACCCUGAUGCAGCGACGCCGCGUGAGUGAAGAAGUAUUUCGGUAUGUAAAGCUCUAUCAGCAGGGAAGAUAAUGACAGUACCUGAAUAAGAAGCCCCGGCUAACUACGUG